CAACGGCUUCGGGAGAACGAUUUCCAUACAUUAUGAAAUAUGACUGAAAGACUAUACUUGUUUUGUUCUACAACGAAGUCCGAUAGAGAAACUUUUUUAACACAACGGAAAGCCUCCUUUCGUGUUCUUCUAUACUAGUUUAACUUACCCAUCACGUAAAUAGAACAACCUCUUUGAGGUACUCAGAACUCCUAAAAGCCUUACAACCUUAGUCACCACAAAACAAAAACUACUAUAAUAGGCUACCUCCACUGUCCCUCUCUUCUACGAUCGAGUUACCACGACCGGCACUUCCUAAAACCGCGUAGGUUCCUAUAUUGGUUGUAUUUGUGUUACGAAUGUUCCUCUAUAGCUGAGUAAACUAACGAUAUAACCGAAACCAGUGGGAACACCCCGAGGAAUAGAAACUUCGUUCCAAGCCUACGAGAAACCUGCGUCCUUCUGCUUGUACUAUCUUUUUCUUUCCCUAGUUGGAACGGUACUGGGGUAUAAAGACAUCCGAUUAUAGGGAAUAAACGUGAUAGGAUGUGGCUUAUGAAUAUCCAUGCCUCUAACCGAACGCGUAGAUAAAUGUUAAAUCC
rnacentral:rRNA from 1 species